GGGAAAAGGCACGCGCUGUCUUUACGAGUAACAGACGAGGGCCCGCGUGACUGGAAACCAAACCUCAAGUUAUUGUUGUAUUUGAUUGCGAAAAGUUGCAAGAUUGUUUUUUCAUUGUUGAUCGUGCGAAUAGUUAACGUCUGCCUAGAGAAAAGAAGACAAUUUAUAAACCAAAAAAACAACUACAACAACAGAAUGAAGAGUCACGUGACGUUAUUUGCUUGUGUUUUAUUGGCUGUAUGUGUAUAUGAAAGUGAGGCGGAAUGCGUGAGUGUAGUGGGAUGUAUGAGAGACCUAUUUGUCUGUAAAAGAAACGAACUAACCCAGAAUCUGGCCGUGGACUGCUGUAAGGUCUACAGGGACUGCUAUUUUGAAUGUAAACCAACCUCCCGAUCUCCACCGUGUAAAAAUAAAUCAGAAGGAAAGCGAGGUAGCUGGAAUAAGAGAUACAGUUAUGGCACCAACAUGUUGGGUGAUAUUCUCUCUGGUUACUAACUAUAUUACGUCAUUGGUUACCGAGCUCAAACAGGAAAUGAUGUCACCAACCAGGAUUUUCACAUUUUUACGAUCUUUCAUGCAAAAUAUUUUCAUUUUUUUUCUGCUCUAAACACUGCGUUUUAAUAGUAUCGGGUGACAAAUGAUUCACCCAAGACCCAGGGGCGCACAGCAGGGCUUAGUCCAGAUAGGCAAAUGGGUCGAUUUUUUUUGUCGAGUGGGCUGGGUUUUUUUUCGGGAAAAUGGACCGUUUGCCGGAGUCUCUUACACAUACAAUCAAACCAAAUUGAGGCCUACAAAUCAAUAUUACAUAAUUAUAUACUUACUAACUACUUUCAAUCUAACUGGGGGUAAUAAUUCAUUUCAAAUGCUGAGUGGGCCGAAUUUUUGAUGGCGCACCCCCUGGGAAAGUAUGUUUGUGCGCCCCUGCCAAGACUGUGUUUUAUUAAUAUCGCGUGACAAAUGAUUUUUUUUUUUAAAUAAGGAUUUUAUUUUGUGCUUAUAUAUACACUACACGCCGCCAUGUUCCUUUAUGAAUAUGCAUGAAUUAAUAUAUCUUCUCUAAUUGGAUUGUUUGAUCUUUCAGUGUGCCCUUAAUCUGUAUUAGUAAAUUACAUGGCUUGCCUUAACGACAUCAGGGGCCAAUUUAGCUCGUGUUGGGUUUCAGGGAGCGGUUAUUAUUCUGUCAAGGGAAUCGUUCAAAUUAAUUGUGUACAAAAUUUUAUUCAUGGAAUAAAGAUGAAUCAAUAAGAAAUAACAAA